rnacentral:rRNA from 1 species
UCAGUCGACUCCUACGGGAGCAGCAGUGGGGAAUCUUGCGCAAUGGGCGAAAGCCUGACGCAGCCAUGCCGCGUGAAUGAUGAAGGUCUUAGGAUUGGUAAAAUUCUUUCACCGGGGACGAUAAUGACGGUACCCCGGAGAAGAAGCCCGGCUAACUUCGUGCCAGCAGCCGCGGUAAUACGAAGGGGGCUAGCGUUGCUCGGAAUUACUGGGCGUAAAGGGAGCGUAGGCGGACAUUUAAGUCAGGGGUGAAAUACCCGGGGCUCAACCUCGGAAUUGCCUUUGAUACUGGGUGUCUUGAGUGUGAGAGAGGUAUGUGGAACUCCGAGUGUAGAGGUGAAAUUCGUAGAUAUUCGGAAGAACACCAGUGGCGAAGGCGACAUACUGGCUCAUUACUGACGCUGAGGCUCGAAAGCGUGGGGAGCAAACAGGAUUAGAUACCCUGGUAG